ACUCCUACGGGAGGCAGCAGUGGGGAAUAUUGGACAAUGGGGGAAACCCUGAUCCAGCAAUGCCGCGUGAGUGAUGAAGGCCUUAGGGUUGUAAAGCUCUUUUACCAGGGAUGAUAAUGACAGUACCUGGAGAAUAAGCUCCGGCUAACUCCGUGCCAGCAGCCGCGGUAAUACGGAGGGAGCUAGCGUUGUUCGGAAUUACUGGGCGUAAAGCGCACGUAGGCGGUUACUCAAGUCAGAGGUGAAAGCCCGGGGCUCAACCCCGGAACUGCCUUUGAAACUAGGUAACUAGAAUCCUGGAGAGGUGAGUGGAAUUCCGAGUGUAGAGGUGAAAUUCGUAGAUAUUCGGAAGAACACCAGUGGCGAAGGCGGCUCACUGGACAGGUAUGACGCUGAGGUGACGAAGCGUGGGGAGCAAACGAGGAUUAGACUACCCGUGGUAGGCUCUGC
rnacentral:rRNA from 1 species